rnacentral:lncRNA from 1 species
AGGCCACGUCUUUCACUUGUUUAAGCUCAAAUUUUCUAUGGUUACUUCUUUAGUGCUCCUAAGUAAAAGAAAAAUAUCAAAAAAAUAAAAAGAAUUACAGGGUUUCAAAUCAUGUUGUUCGGAAGCCGGAUCGAUUUGUGUCUUGUUUCCACCAAAUCGAGAGUUACAGAACCUUUCGGAAGAUCAGGCCACCCUUGUUCUCUUCAAGUGGUAAUCAAAGCUUCAGGUAUACCAUUAGGUUCACAUCUACCCUUAGUUUUGAGUGUUCUUGUGUUCGUCCCACAAGUCUAGUGCCAUAUCAUUUUUCUGUCCUACA